UCCAGACUCCUACGGGAGGCAGCAGUGGGGAAUAUUGAGCAAUGGGGGAAACCCUGACGCAGCAACGCCGCGUGCGGGAUGAAGGCUUUCGGGUUGUAAACCGCUUUCAGCAGGGAAGAUAAUGACGGUACCUGCAGAAGAAGCCCCGGCUAACUACGUGCCAGCAGCCGCGGUAAUACGUAGGGGGCAAGCGUUAUCCGGAUUUACUGGGUGUAAAGGGAGCGUAGACGGCAUGGCAAGUCAGAUGUGAAAGCCCGGGGCUCAACCCCGGGACUGCAUUUGAAACUGUCAGGCUGGAGUGCAGGAGGGGCAGGCGGAAUUCCUGGUGUAGCGGUGAAAUGCGUAGAUAUCAGGAGGAACACCAGUGGCGAAGGCGGCUUUCUGGACCGUAACUGACGUUGAGGCACGAAAGUGUGGGGAGCAAACAGGAUUAGAUACCCCAGUAA
rnacentral:rRNA from 1 species